AUGUGGUUGGUCAAUGGACUUCCUGCUUGAGUUAGGAGCUGAUGCCCCUGAGGUUUCCAGCAUCAUGUCCUGCCCUUUUUGGGGUCCUGUAUUGUAUCCAUUUCUGGGCACAACAUUUUAAGCUGCGAAUUGAUAAAAUAUUGAGUCCAGAGGAGAAGCCACACAGCCAAAGGACCUCUCCCAGUCAUAUCCUAUGAGGUUUGGUUGUAAGCAUUGCAGAUUAGAGAGCCAUGCCUGGAGAUGGGAAGUCCUGGGUUUAAAUCUGACCUCAGAUUCUUCCAGGUUGUGUGACCUUGGGCAAGUCACUUAACCCCAAUUGUUAGUGCUUCCUGCUCUUCUGCCUUAGAACCAAUACUUAGUAUUAAUUCUAAGACAGAAGAUGAGGGGUUCAAAAAAGAAACCAUUGAAGCUGUUUAGUCUGUGGGCUAAAAGACUCUGGGGUAAGGGUGGGGGCAGGACAUGGAUGCCAUCUUUAAGAACAGAAGAAAAAAGCAAUUAGACUUGUUCUGCUCUGCCCUGGAAGGUUAGAGUCAGGUGUGAUGGAAGUCAGGGAGGUGGAAGGUGCAAAGAGGCAGAUUUAGUUUUCUGGAGUGAAAUGGGCUGGAAGGACAGGCUCACCCUUGAUGGGAGAUUUUCAGCAGGGACCUGAUGACCAUUUGCCAAAGAUACUGCAGAGGGAUUCUUGGGGUCCAACCUCUGAGGCCCCUUCUAGUUGUGAGAUGCUGGGAUUCUUUGAGUCUUCAGUUACAAGGGAUGGUAAUGGGCAUUUUGUCUGUUCUAGGGAAGGGAGGGAGGGACGAAGGAAAUGAGAAAGGGAAGGAGGGAGGAAGGAAGUGAUGAGGGAGGAAGAAAGGAAGGGAGAGGAAGGAAGUGAUGAAGGAGGAAGAGAGGAAGGAAGGGAUGAAGGAAGGAAGUGAUGAGGGAGGAAGAAAGGAAGGGAGGGAGGGAGGAAGGAAGGGAGGGAGGGAGGAAGGAAGGGAGGGAGGGAGGAAGGAAGGAAGGAAGGGAAGGAGAGAGAGAGAAGGAGAGAGGGGAGAGAGACAUGAGGGAGCUGGGCUAGAACACAAGAUUACUGGUCAUAUGAUAAAGGUUGCACAUGUACUAUCAUAUAAUACACAUUUCCACGUUCAUCGUGGAAAUGGUUUGAUAAAGAAGACCCAGAUGCUUCCAUAGAGAAACAUUUGUGGAGGAAGUAAAGGGAAAGAUGGCGCACUUCUGUGGUGGUGGAGCCCCUUGGAGCUGUCCUGGAUCCUUGCCUUGUGGGUAACAGUU
rnacentral:lncRNA from 1 species